UAUGUAGAUGACAUUCUCCUCUGUGCCC
rnacentral:piRNA from 1 species